UAGGGAAUUUUGCGCAAUGGGCGAAAGCCUGACGCAGCAACACCGCGUGAAUGUUAAGCCCUUCGGGGUGUAAAGUUCUGUCAAUAGGGACGAAUUUUGACUGUACCUAUAAAGGAAGCACCGGCUAACUCCGUGCCAGCAGCCGCGGUAAUACGGGGGGUGCAAGCGUUGUCCGGAAUCAUUGGGCGUAAAGCGUUCGUAGGCGGCAAGGUAAGUCUGAUGUUAAAGCCCGGGGCUCAACUCCGGUUCGGCAUUGGAUACUAUCUAGCUAGAAUGUGGUAGAGGUAAAGGGAAUUCCUGGUG
rnacentral:rRNA from 1 species